rnacentral:rRNA from 1 species
ACGGCCAUACCAUGCUGAAUAUACCGGUUCUCGUUAGAUCACCGAAGUCAAGCAUCAUUGGGCGCGGUCAGUACGGGUGGAUGACCACCUGAGAACACCGCGCGCCGUU